GACGAACCGUGCGAACGUUGUUCGGAAUCACUGGGCUUAAAGGGCGCGUAGGCGGCCUGGCGCGUCUCGGGUGAAAUGCCGGUGCCCAACACCGGGAGUGCCCGAGAUACGGCCAGGCUGGAGUGGGAGAGGGGCCCGCGGAACAUCCGGUGGAGCGGUGAAAUGCGUUGAGAUCGGAUGGAACUCCGACGGCGAAAGCAGCGGGCUGGACCCCAACUGACGCUGAGGCGCGAAAGCCAGGGGAGCGAACGGG
rnacentral:rRNA from 1 species